rnacentral:rRNA from 1 species
UACGGGGGGAGCAAGCGUUGUUCGGAUUUACUGGGCGGAAAGGGCGCGUAGGCGGCCAGCACAAGUCAGUUGUGAAAUCUCCGAGCUUAACUCGGAAAGGUCAACUGAUACUGUGCGGCUAGAGUGCGGAAGGGGCAACUGGAAUUCUCGGUGUAGCGGUGAAAUGCGUAGAUAUCGAGAGGAACACCUGCGGCGAAGGCGGGUUGCUGGGCUGAUACUGACGCUGAGGCGCGAAAGCCAGGGGAGCGAACGGG